CCCCUCUUAGGGUCAAACCUGGAGGGUUUUCAGUACUCUACCAGUCUUGCCUAUGGGAGGGAGAGUCAAGCAGAGACCUACCCAUUCCAUUCCUAGCUUGGGCAGUGGAUAGUGAGUGGAAGGCAAUCUGCUACAAGU